rnacentral:rRNA from 1 species
AUUGAACGCUGGCGGCAGGCCUAACACAUGCAAGUCGAGCGGCAGCGGGAAGUAGCUUGUUACUUUGCCGGCGAGCGGCGGACGGGUGAGUAAUGUCUGGGAAACUGCCCGAUGGAGGGGGAUAACUACUGGAAACGGUAGCUAAUACCGCUUAACGUCGCAAGACCAAAGAGGGGGACCUUCGGGCCUCUUGCCAUCGGAUGUGCCCAGAUGGGAUUAGCUAGUAGGUGGGGUAACGGCUCACCUAGGCGACGAUCCCUAGCUGGUCUGAGGGGAUGUCCAGCCACACUGGAACUGAGACACGGUCCAGACUCCUACGGGAGGCAGCAGUGGGGAAUAUUGCACAAUGGGCGCAAGCCUGAUGCAGCCAUGCCGCGUGUAUGAAGAAGGCCUUCGGGUUGUAAAGUACUUUCAGCGGGGAGGAAGGUGUUGAGGUUAAUAACCUCAGCAAUUGACGUUACCCGCAGAAGAAGCACCGGCUAACUCCGUGCCAGCCGCCGCCGUAA